AUAUUUCUUAUUCCUUAUUACCAUAUCAAAACGAUACAAUUUUUGUGUAUUUCUCUGUGAUAAAUAUUUUCAGACAGUUGUUUACGGUAUCAAUACAGAGAGAUUAAAAAAUUACAAAAAUUACAUACGCUAAUGCAUCGAGGAGAAGGGCGGAUCGAUUGGUACAUAUAGAACUAUGCGUAUCUCGUGAUACAAUCAUUUUACUGUUGAAGAAGUAUAUUAUAACAAUCAUGCUCUUAGUGUCGAAGCGAUCCUGUGCGCAGCGCAUAAAGAUGGAAAGGUUAGUACAUUUCUAUUUAAUGUACAAUAACCGGCAGUGAAAAUAUUGUAACGCAAUUAAAUGACUAGAAUUUCAUAGCAAUAUAUAUUCAUUCUCAGUCACUACCGUGAAGCUAUCACUGUGGUAAACUAUUAAUUCAACAAUAAUUUCUGUCUCCAGAAGAUAUCAAUUUUAUACUCUCUGUAUAAUAAAACUCUUUCACCCAUUAAUGAAUGUAAGAUUAGACUUAAACAGUUGCACUGAUUAUAUUAAUUUUACGAGUGAUAGUAAAGGACUAAUUUUAUGUACAUAUGGAUUCAAAUAUAAUUUAUCGGAAAGUUGCUUAGUACAUAGCUAUUAAAACAAUUUCUUGCCAGAAAUACUCUUAUAGAGUUUAAUCAUACAUUAGAAAAGAAGUGAAGACAAUACCAAUUUUAGUGAUAUAAAUAAUAAUAGUUUUAGAACGCUUGCCUUUUUACGUUAAUAUACAGUACCCUCCAAUUUUAGACAGAAGAAAUUAGAAUUUUCUCAGAUUUUUUCUUGCGUUUGUGGCAUGUCUCAAAUUGAGAAGAAAGUUUUCCAUUUUGUCCAU